GACGAACGCUGGCGGCGUGCUUAACACAUGCAAGUCGAACGGAAAGGCCUGCUUUUCCUUGUGGUUUCGGGGUGCUCGAGUGGCGAACGGGUGAGUAACACGUGAGCGUUCUGCCCCCAACUUGGGUAUAAGCCUGGGAAACUGGGUCUAAUUCCCGAUUGAACUGCAGGGUGGUGCCUGUCGUGGCAAACGAUUUUCUAGUGGUUGGGGAUGAGCUCGCGGCCUAUCAGCUUGUUGGUGGGGGAUUGGCCGACCAAGGCGGCGACGGGUAGCCGGCCUGGGAGGGUGGACAGGGAGAUUGGGACUGAGCAACGGCCCAGACGCCAGGGGGAGGCAGCGGUGGGGAAGAUUGGAGCAUGAGCGUGAGCCAGAGGCAGCGACGCAGCGUGGGGGAUCACGGCGUUGGAGUUGUACACUCCUUUCGACCGAGAGGAAGCGACGUGGUUGGGAGGGUGGUGACGGUAGUGGUAGAAGAAGCACCGGCUAACUACGUG
rnacentral:rRNA from 1 species